rnacentral:rRNA from 1 species
GACGAACGCUGGCGGCGUGCUUAACACAUGCAAGUCGAACGAUGAAGCUAGAGCUUGCUCUGGUGAAUUAGUGGCGAACGGGUGAGUAACACGUGAGUAACCUGCCCCGAACUCUGGGAUAACUGCUGGAAACGGUAGCUAAUACUGGAUACGACCUACGAAGGCAUCUUCUGUAGGUGGAAAGAAUUUCGGUUCGGGAUGGACUCGCGGCCUAUCAGCUUGUUGGUGAGGUAAUGGCUCACCAAGGCGACGACGGGUAGCCGGCCUGAGAGGGUGACCGGUCACACUGGGACUGGGACAAGGCCCAGACUCCUACGGGAGGCAGCAGUGGGGAAUAUUGCACAAUGGGCGCAAGCCUGAUGCAGCAACGCCGCGUGAGGGAUGACGGCCUUCGGGUUGUAAACCUCUUUUAGUAGGGAAGAAGCGAAAGUGACGGUACCUGCAGAAAAAGCACCGGCUAACUACGUGCCAGCCGCCGCCGUAA